UGGGCCUAGGGCAGUGGGCGACUGCCAUCCACCACCCUGUCUAGACCCCGCCUGGCGGGCAGCUCUGCUGGGGAAGCCUGGGGCCCCUGUGCGUGGUGGGGGUUUCAGCUCCCGCUUCCCGAGUCGUGACUCACCGAGGAUCGGGGCUGAGUGCGGUUUUAUUUCAUAGCAAUGGGGCUUUUUCUUCCCUCCGGGAGCUAAAAAGUUGCUAUAAUUCUGCCAGCAUGUCUCACCAUUUCUCCUGUGCUGGAAUAAAGGGGAAACACUUUUUUGGUUUCAGAAAGGGCUAUUAGCUGUCAGGAAGCAAUCUUUCCCUGACUGGAGGUUCUUUUUGCCGGGUUCCUGAGUCCCCUGUUCUGCUGCCUGGCUGCGAGCCCCCAGCCAGCGAGCGGCACCGUGCGGCUCGGCUGGCCUCCCGGCGGGUGAUGGAUGGUCUGCCCGGAGCUUUGGGGAGCACCGACACCCAGCCCAGCGGGCCAGGCGCCGUGGUCCCUGCUCACCAGCGGGUCUUCGCCCCGGGCUCUUGCGCCUCUGGCAGUGUGAAGUGAGCAAAGCGUCUCUGAAGCUCGAGCGUGGGGCAGGCAGGCUGCUCGGCUUCUCUGAGCCUUGGUCUCCUAAUCUGAGUCACAGGUGGUACCUGGGGUGGUUGUGAGAACAAAAUGACAUGCAUCACAUUUGGUCUGAUUAAUAUUAAUGAGUACUAUUAAUAUGAAUGCUCACUAGACCAUGGCCCAUCCAGGCAAAGCCCUGACGGAGCUGAAUUCCAGGAUCGUUUCCGAAGCUUGGCAGCAGCUGGCAAAGAGGUCCUUACCUAAUUGUAUCCGCAAAUACUCUGU
rnacentral:lncRNA from 1 species